rnacentral:lncRNA from 1 species
AUGUACCCCACACUCCCCAUACAUACCCCAUACACACACCACACACACACACAUACACACACGUACCCCACACUUCCCACACAUACCCCAUACACACACCCCACACACACAUAUACUCCACACUCCCCACACAUACCCCAUACACACACCCCACACACACAUACACACACAUAUACUCCACACUCCCCACACAUACCCUAUACGCACACCCCACACACACAUAUAUACCCCACACUCCCCACACAUACCCCAACACACACCCCACACACACAUAUACCCCACACUCCCCACACAUAUCCCAUACAUACACCCGACACACAUAUACACACAUACACCCCCCUCGCCUCACACAUACCCUAUACACACACACCACAAACACAUAUACACACACAUAUACCCCACACUCUCCACACAUACCCCAUACACAAACCCCACACACACAUAUACACACACAUAUACCCCACACUCCCCAUACAUACCCCAUCACACACCCCACACACAUAUACACACAUACACCCCCCUCGCCCCACACAUACCAUAUACACACACCCCACACACACAUAUACACACACAUAUACCCCACAUGCCCCACACAUACCCCAUACACACACCCCACACACACACAUGCCCCACACUCCCCACACAUACCCCAUACAUACACCUCACACAGACAUAUACACACACAUAUACCCCACACUCCCCACACAUACCCAUACACACACCCCACACACACAUAUACACACACAUAUACCCCACACUCCCCACACAUACCCCAUACAUAUCCCCACACACACCCCCUGUGAACACACAUUUCACACACCCCACACACAUAUACCAUACACAUCCUACACACACACACCCCAUACAUAUUCCCCCUACACACCCUGCAAAAACACACCCCACACACACAUACACCACACACAUCCACACACACUCCACAUACCCAACACACUCCACACACACAUAAACCACACACACACCUCUCACACACACCACACAUGCAUCCCUCAUACUCCACACACAAAUACACCACACACACAUCCUGAAACCCCACACAUAUAUACAUCACACAUACAUACACCACACACGCAUCCAUCAUACUCCACACACAAAUACACCACACACACAUCCUGA